rnacentral:lncRNA from 1 species
AUUUCUUGGGCCGCUCCCUGGGCAUAUGGAAGUUCCCAGGCUAGGGAUCGAAUCGGAACUGCAGCCACCGGCCUACGCCAGAGCCACAGCAACGAGGGAUCCGAGCCGCGUCUGCAACCUACACUGCAACUCACGGCAAUGCCAGAUCGUUAACCCACUGAUCAAGGGCAGGGACCAAACCCGCAACCUCAUGGUUCCUAGUCGGAUUCGUUAACCACUGCGCCACGACGAUUUCCGCUUUAGAAAGUUCACUUUUACUGUAGAGUGGAAAAUGGCUUAGAGGGAAGGAGGUGUGAAGGACCUUGAGAGGCAGUUACUUCGGUACAGGUAAGGCAAGGUCGAGAGCUUUUCCCAGGUAGGUGUCAAAAUUGCUCUUAAAGUUCUGGCUUGAACAUCUGGGUGAAUGAUUGUUACAUUUUCUGCAAUAACCCUGGUGAAGGGACCACCUUCCAGGAGAGAGCAGUGCUGGACACAUAAAAGUUGAGGAGUAGUGGUGUUUCCAUAAUUGUUUAAUGCUUGUUCUCCUUAGGAAUGUGUGAGAGGGGGAAGCCCUGGUUUAUAUAUAUGGAGGUAAAUAUUCCCACUGCAAAUGAUUUCAAUCUACUAACAUGAAGUCAUAGAAUAGGGAGGAGAUGUGUAAUAACACUCAUUUUGUAGCAUUUCCAACAUAUAGAUACAAAGCCAAAUUCUGGAACUAAGUUGUGGGCACACCUUAGAAGUAUAUUAAAUUGCAAGUACAGCUGUAAGUUUCUAUUAGACAAACAGAUGCAAGCAUCUAUUUGUGACACAGUCUAGAUGAGCCCAUGGGUAACCAAGGCAAUAGUGGCAAGUAAUAGGACAGCAGAGUAGAUAUCAAGGAAAGUGAAGAACCUAGUUAUCUAGACAGAUGUCCAAGGUCAGAGGCAUACCACCAGUAAGGGAUGAAAAUGAAGAGCUGGACAUCACUGGAAUAAACCUAGAACUUGGGUCAUGUUGGCCCAUAGGAUCUAAGACAUUUAGGGGAAGGUUAUAUAUCCUGCGUGAAGCUAAAGGAGGGUUUUAGAGUCUGCGAAUCACACAGGGUAUAAUAGUUAUACAACUUUUUUGCACUAGGUCCUCUCAAUUAUGCUGAAGGUCAUCCCUUCCUCAUGAACUGUCACUGCCCAUGGCCAGUGGAAAGGAAGGACACUUUCCUAAAAUGCAGUUUUUAUAUGUACUGUUUAUGCUCACUAGUUAGUAAAUUCCAUGCAGAAUUUAGAUGUAGUAAAACAGGCUCCAUCAAAUCCUAAAUAUAAGGAGAGAGCUUGAGAGCCCUGAUGUUAAAUGUGCUGAUUGGAGUAGCCCAAAUCGACGAUUGCAUCUCCCUGUUCACAUAGUAAAUCAGUCCCACAAAAGCAACUGCAAAUUAACUGGAUUAAUAACAUCUUGAGGAGGAAGAGGAGGAAACAGGACAAUUUUAUUUUCUAAAUCUGGUACUGUUUUAGACUAUUUCUGGUUUGAAAUCCUUUAUACGCAACAAAAAUGUAUGAAAAGUAUCCUGAUCUAUCUCCUGUACUGAAACAAAUUAAUUCAGCUUCCUUCUUAUAUAUUUACUGUACUUACAACAAUGCAAAUUAAGCCAAUUUGUUUUAAAGCAAUAGAUGAUUUCAAGAGCUAACUUGAAUAUAUUUCUGUUUAGAGAAAAGAAAAGAGGCAAUCUAUCCAAAAGAACUUUUAAGGGUUCAAGGGUUUCAUAAUGCUGCCAUAAGAGGGUUGUGGGGGGAAAUGAGUGUUGUGUUUUCUCUAGCACAUUUUUUCCCUAGUGCUCUGUUAUUUUUACCUGAUUUUUGACACUGUUUCUUUAAAAAAAAAAAAAUUCGGUCAUUUGAUUUGGUUUCUAUAGUAACGAAAACUAAUUUCUGGAGUUUCUUCAUGACUUAUGAUCAUAUUGAAACCAAAGAGGACUCAUGGGUCUUGCAAAAUUCAUAAAGUCCUGAACAAAUAGGACUGCCAUCUUCUGGCAUUUGUCUGAAAUGACAGAUAAUUGUACCAAUUCUGUAUCCUAACCUUCAGGUUUUCCCCCUCAUACUUCCUCCUGCUAUUGCCAACCCAGCACAAUGAUGUGGCACACAUGCCGAAGGUUCUUGGAUGACCUCAUCAAGUUGAAAAUGAGCCUUUUGACCCACAGGGAACAUGAAGAAAGGAGGAUGUCUUAAUGCAACUAUUUGUUCCAGAAAGUUGGAUGAUAAAUACACUGUUACUGAAAGAAUCAGAAUUUCCCCC